UACGUAGGGAGCAAGCGUUGUCCGGAAUCAUUGGGCGUAAAGCGCGCGUAGGUGGCCAUGUAAGUCCGUUGUGAAAGUCAAAGGCUCAACCUUUUGAAAGCCGAUGGAUACUGCAUGGCUAGAGUACGGAAGAGGCGAGUGGAAUUCCUGGUGUAGCGGUGGAAUGCGCAGAUAUCAGGAGGAACACCAAUAGCGAAGGCAGCUCGCUGGACGUUACUGACACUGAGGCGCGAAAGCGUGGGGAGCGAACAGG
rnacentral:rRNA from 1 species